UGGAUCCAGACUUUGAUCAUGGCUCAGGAUGAACGCUAGCCACAGGCUUAACACAUGCAAGUCGAGGGGAAACGACAUCGAAAGCUUGCUUUUGAUGGGCGUCGACCGGCGCACGGGUGAGUAACGCGUAUCCAACCUGCCCACCACUUGGGGAUAACCUUGCGAAAGUAAGACUAAUACCCAAUGAUAUCUCUAGAAGACAUCUGAAAGAGAUUAAAGAUUUAUCGGUGAUGGAUGGGGAUGCGUCUGAUUAGCUUGUUGGCGGGGUAACGGCCCACCAAGGCAGCGAUCAGUGGGGGUUCUGAGAGGAAGGUCCCCCACAUUGGAACUGAGACACGGUCCAAACUCCUACGGGAGGCAGCAGUGAGGAAUAUUGGUCAAUGGACGAGAGUCUGAACCAGCCAAGUAGCGUGCAGGAUGACGGCCCUAUGGGUUGUAAACUGCUUUUAUAAGGGAAUAAAGUGAGUCUCGUGAGACUUUUUGCAUGUACCUUAUGAAUAAGGACCGGCUAAUUCCGUGCCAGCAGCCGCGGUAAUACGGAAGGUCCGGGCGUUAUCCGGAUCUAUUGGGUUUAAAGGGAGCGUAGGCCGGAGAUUAAGCGUGUUGUGAAAUGUAGACGCUCAACGUCUGCACUGCAGCGCGAACUGGUUUCCUUGAGUACGCACAAAGUGGGCGGAAUUCGUGGUGUAGCGGUGAAAUGCUUAGAUAUCACGAAGAACUCCGAUUGCGAAGGCAGCUCACUGGAGCGCAACUGACGCUGAAGCUCGAAAGUGCGGGUAUCGAACAGGAUUAGAUACCCUGGUAGUCCGCACGGUAAACGAUGGAUGCCCGCUGUUGGUCUGAAUAGGUCAGCGGCCAAGCGAAAGCAUUAAGCAUCCCACCUGGGGAGUACGCCGGCAACGGU
rnacentral:rRNA from 1 species